AUACGUAGGGGGCGAGCGUUGUCCGGAAUGAUUGGGCGUAAAGGGCGCGUAGGCGGCCCGGUAAGUCUGGAGUGAAAGUCCUGUUUUUAAGAUGGGAAUUGCUUUGGAUACUGUCGGGCUUGAGUGCAGGAGAGGUAAGUGGAAUUCCCAGUGUAGCGGUGAAAUGCGUAGAGAUUUGGAGGAACACCAGUGGCGAAGGCGACUGUCUGGUCUGUAACCGACACUGAGGCGCGAAAGCGUGGGGAGCAAACAGGAUUAGAUACCCUGGUAGUCCACGCCGUAAACGAUGAGUGCUAAGUGUUGGGGGGUUUCCGCCCCUCAGUGCUGCAGCUAACGCAUUAAGCACUCCGCCUGGGGAGUACGGUCGCAAGACUGAAACUCAAAUGAAUCGACGGGG
rnacentral:rRNA from 1 species